rnacentral:lncRNA from 1 species
CUUGAAUCAGGGAGGUGGAGAUUGCAGAGAGCUGAGAUCAUGCCAUUGCACUCCAGCAUGGGUGACAGAGCGAAACUCCAUAAAAAAAAAAAAUGUAAGGGCUUGAAAAUAGUUUAUCAUCAUCAUUAAUUUAUUUCUGUAAACUCUUCCCCUUUCCUCUUUCCUCUUAGCAUAAUUGAACUUCCACAUGGAGGUCUGUUCUACUCCUGAUUCGAGUUUUGUAAAUAAUCUUUGUGGUAUUCUUUUGUGCCAAUGACAGCAGUUUAUUCUUCAGUUGAUCUUUUUGCCUCUUCUUCUUUUCCCCCAGCCAGCUUUCAAUGGUUAUAGAGCUUUAGCCUUCUGUGAAGAUAGAAAAAGCAUUCAUAUACUUUCCUUUGCAGAUCUAUCAUCUCCUUUCCAUUAAAGCAAUCCCUUGAUAUACCACAUACUCGAGUCUUAGUCAUUUCUUUCAAUAUGCAAUGCUGACUUGUUGGCAUAAUUUCAUCUCACUUACACAUUUUCAAACACAUUCUUCUCAACCUGAAGUCUGAGUAAGCUGGUAGCAAUGAAGACAAAAACAGUAUUCACCUUCAAUCACCAUAGUGUCCCAGCCCCUAGCUCAGUGCCAGCCAAAUAAUAAGAACCCACAAAUAUUUGGGUAAUGAAUGAGUAAAUGGGCUGUGUGUUGACAAGAGAGUAGCUGAAACGCUAAACUCAUUUGUUUUUUAGUGACAGUUACUAAGUGGGGAGAAUUCCAGGGGGAAUAAUGAUGGAGGACAGUGUGGAGUCUAAAGCCAAUGUGUGUGUGUGUGUGUGUGCGUGUUUGCGUGCAUGUGUGUGUGAGAGAGAGAGAGAGAUGUUCAGAGAUUAGCAGGAAGUACAGUUCAGAAUCAAAUAGCUUAAAGGAAAAGGAGGGAUUGGGACAUCACCCAUGGUAAAGGGUUCUGAGAAGCUACCCUAUUGAUUCAUAGAGGGUGUUCAGAGUCCCGUGUUUUAGUGACCCCAGUUCCACCUAGACCCAGCUCCAGGCAUAAUAUGUUUGACAAAAUGGCAGGACAGUGAAAGGGUCAUUAAAGUACUUUAUUUGUAUCAUGAAAAGAUUGACUUAUAAAUCUUCAUUAAAUAUUUGCCUUCCUAGCCAGACAUAAGCUCCAUAAAGACAGGCGCUGGCCCUCAGGGAGCAAGUGAACUGGCAUGGUGCCUGGCGCCCAGCAGUUCCUUCAUGAAGAUUUCAGAAUGACCAAGUGAGUUGAAUGCACAGCCCAGGCAUCUGUGUUUUCACACCUCUCCAGGGUCUGUUCCAUUAUUCACGUAGAAAAACCUGUUAACUAUUGUGAAGCAGCCUUGUAUCUGUAGCUGCCACACACUUCUCAAUGACCUUCCCUUUCCAAGUUGAGUUUUGCACCAUGUCAACAAGUGGCAGCUUUCUAGCAUCAAAUUGUUUGUCCAGGGUUAUCAGCAUUACUUUCUUUUCUUGUCCUCACUACAAUACACAUGCCCAUCUCAAAUCAGUUCCAUUGUUACUUAGGUAAUAGUAUUGUAGGGUGUCUUUACUUCAGAAAGAAUGAUAUAUUUAGCAAAUGUUACAGAUAUAGGAGGUUUUAAGUGGGACUAAAUGCAGCAAUUAAUGCUAAUGAGUCUGCUGUUAGCAUGUAAUAUUCUUGGUGUUAUAAUCAUGCAUCACUGAAUGCGAAGCCUCAGUUUGUGCAACAGAUGCCGAUCUUAAUGGCUAUAUUCUCUUCCCAUGGAUAAGCUAGCUUUAGUUAAAUGAAUCAUUAAGAAUAACCAUUUAAAAUGUUAAUGAAAACAGUGAUUAUAACCACCAAGAUUUUUUUUUUAACUUCUGGCUCUAUUACUUUUUAUUUUCGAAAGGACUUUGGGAAGGUAAGAAACUUAUUGCCUGUGUAUGUUGUUUUAAACAGAGAAGGCCGAUACAGUUUCUGUUCACAGCAGCCCUGAGGCCGCAUGCCUGUAUUAUUAACACCAACCGUACUUGGAGACUAACUCUCUUUUGUUCUCAUUUGUCAUUUCUUUUAAAUAUUCAUUUAGGGUAUAAGACAGAAUUGGGUAAGUAGGAUCCUUGACAGUCCAACUAGUUGGUAAACAAAUAUUUUGUCUUCCUGAAAGUAUCAUUAUACUAUCGCAAAUUAAGACUGAAAAGGAAAAAAAUACCAGGAUGUUGAUAUUUAAGAAUAAAUACUUUAUCUUUUCAGAACAACAAUAAGAAGGCUGGUUUAGGCUUUAUCGCUGGAAAAUGGAGUUUGUGAAACAAAGAAGUAAUAGAUGCAUAGCAAGAGCUCAGUGUCCUUCCACAUUGUGUCACCGGUUGUACCCUGAGACAGAUUCUCCAAGUCUUAGAACAUGGAUAUGCAGUGAGAGUGAGGUUUACGUAGAAAAGUCUUUGUGUCUUGGGAGUGCCAUGUGUAUUGAAUGUCUAUGACUCAUGUCUCCCCUUGACUCACUUCUUGGCUGGGCUACAUGACUCAUCAGGCCUGGUAGGUUCAGGGCAGUGUAGCUGGUGGGGAAGGGCUAAGUGAAGAGGGGCUGUCUAGACCUGGGGAGCAUGGUUAUAAUGAGCUUUUUCAAACGUACAACUCAACUCUCUUGCACCUAGGAAGUAUCUUCAUCCAGAAGGAGUUCUCAGUCCUUUUUCUGGUCCUGCAGAGCAAAAGAGGAGAGAGAAAAAGAGAAUGAGUUACAUGGGCCCACUGUAUGUUAUAGCUGACUGCUGAUGGUAUCAGAGAAUUAUUUUCUUCAGCUUUGUCUUCCAAAGGACAAUGGUGUGAGGAGGACUUCAUCCUUGUGUAACACCCUGUGUGUGUGUUUUUCUUCUUUCUCUCACCAAAGCAUUUUUUUUUCCUCCCUUUUGCUGGAGGCCUGUCUCUUUCUCUUGAACAGAUCAACAAUCAGGUCGUAAAUGGGAGUUGGAGCCGGAUGAUCAAAAAGAACUUUAGAAAAAUGGGAAUAAAAGCAAGAGCUGAUGAGUUUGAAAUGAAAGCCCAUCUGGGAGAGCUCUUCUAAUGAACUCAGCCUACUCAAACUGUACAAAGAAAGCUGAAGAAUGAUUGCAGCUGCAAUCUCCAACCUACAUAAAGCACUAACGCUGGUAAGGUGAUGAAAGUGAAGGGAGGUAACUGGUAUCUGGAUUUGGAAGAGAGAAGUCAAAGGCCAUCACCCCCUUGUACUACUGCAUUCACCAUGUAAGUUCCUUCGGAAAUUUCACAGCCAAUCUGAAUUAAAGAGACAGCUGCAGAUGCUUCAGGAUGAAGGUCACACUCUGAAUUCUACGAAGAGCCCUAUGAUUCAAAAGUACCAUCUCUUUAGCCUCAGAGCAGUUGUAUACCACCUUCUCACUUGCUCUGUCCCUGGGCUAGUAUGGCUUUGAAAUUAUGUUAAAGAAGAGGCAUUUUCCCUCACAAAGACUCCCAAAAUAUGACUAUUAAGUGAAAGAACAGGUAGAGGGAGGGAAAGAGCUGAAUCUAAGUGGAGAUUAAUAAAGUGUUGUUUUGAAAUUGUUCCUUUAUUUUUCCUGGGUUAAUUAUCGCCAUUUAGUCACGACUUCCUGACACAGCACCAGAAAUUUUGUUGAAAUCUUAAUAUUCUGCAGGAAACUGACCUGACUACCAGCAGGAAUUAUAUUGACUAAUUAAUAAUGUCCAGUCUCCCUCAAGGAUAAGUCACCUCUGUCUGGCUCUAUCAUGGCCACUCUUAGAAUGAUGGUGAUGGUCCACUGAUUGUCACAUCCAAUGAAUUUAUCUGAAGUAUUUGUCCUAUGUAACCUCUUCAAAGCUUUCAGCGCCAGUCACCACCCAGUUUUCAUUUUCUUGUUUCUCUUCCUAACUCUCUCACAAUUUCUCAAUUUCCAUAAUUGUCUCCUCUUUCUCCAUGCACACUUUUAUACAUUGUUUUUCUCCAGGAUUGUACUUUUCUCCUGAUCUCACAGAGCACUCCUAAUACAGUGUUGGUUUUAUUUACAUUUAAUAUAAUUGAAAUCUGAAAUGGUAUACUCAGCUGCUCCAUGUAGAUAUUUGAGGGUACCUCAAAUUCAACAUGUCCUGAGCUGAAACUCAUCAUCUUCCACUUUACUUUGGUUCUUCUUCUAAAUUCCCUGUUAUCAGUUAAUGGAACUCUAAUUCAUCUAUAAAUUUAAGCUAGUAUCCACAGAAUUAUUAUUUUUGGGGGGGUGGGGGGUGGGGUACAGAGUCUCACUCUGUUGCUCAGGCUGGCUUGCAAUGGCACAAUCUUGGCUCACUGUAACCUCUGCCUCCCAGGUUCAAGCAAUCCUCCCAGCUCAGUCUCCUGAGUAGCUGGGAAUACAGGUGCAUGCCACCACACCUGGCUAAUUUUUGCAUUUUUAGGAGACACGGUUUCAACAUGUUGGCUAGGCUGGUCUCAAACUCCUGACCUCAAGUGAUCUGCUUGCCUCAGCCUCCCAAAGUGCUGGGAUUACAAACGUAAGCCACCACCCCCAGCCAAAGUUAUUCUUAUUUCCUUCUUUUUCUUCAUGUGUCUUAUGUAGUCAUAUAUUAUUUUACAUUUUUUCUAAUUUUUAAAAAAUUAUUUAAACAAAUUUUUAGCACACACCACCUUUGUUAUUCUCAUAAAUUGACCUCUACUCUCCAUCGUCACUUCCACUGCCUUUGUUCAGUGCCUUGUCAUUUGUUACCAGCAUCACUACGUAGAUUUCCAACUGGUGUUUUGGUCUGCGAUAUUGUAUCCCCUUACCCACAGCUAUUCCAUCUGUCUUUCAUAGUGAACAGAAUGUACAUACAUAAAGUUGAUCAUGUACUCAUCUUAUUUAAAUGUUCGUGGUCUUUUUACCUGUAAAAAUCCAAAUAGAUUAGUAAAACAUCAGUUCACUUAACCUAGCUUUCCAACCCCGAUCUCUUGACAUUACACUCCUUUUGCUAUGAAUUUUAUGCUUUAUUCAGACUUCAAUCUCACCCUUUCUAGAUCUGGUUUUUCCUUUUUAUUUAAAAUGUCUUGUUUGGCAAGCUCCUGCUUACUAUACAAAAUCUAUCUCAGAUGUGCCCUUCUCUGUGAUUCAUUCUCUCCAAUUUCCCUAGUUGAUUCUCAGCUUAUGCUAGCAUUUUAAGUCUUUGUUUUUCUGCUUUUCAUCACUAUUUUAAGAGUGGGCCCAAACCAUGUCUUCUCAACUUUUGCAUCUCUAUUGCCUAUCAAAGUUCCUUACACAAAGAAGUUUCUAGAUAAUUACUCAAUGGAUGAAUGAAUACAUGGGAGUCUUUUGCCUCUCAUCUCACAUUUAUAAGAGUGUCCCCACUCUGAUGUACCUUGAAGGUGGAAGAAACUUACUAUUCCAAGUGGUGUUGAAAGCGGAGAAGUUGUGACAGGACAAGAAGUGUUUUUCUAAUCUAAACCAGGUAUCUUAUUUCCCUAUAUUUGCUUCUAUCAUUUUCUCUACUCCUCUAGGUCUAGAAAAAUGAUGAUAUCUAUGAUACAUCUACGUUAUACUAUAAUAGAUAUGUGAAACUAAAUUUUUUGUCACUCUUUUAAAUUGUUUUAAAUUGACAUGUAAUAAUUGUGCAUAUUCAUUACAUGUGAUGUUUCAAUACAUAUAAUGUAUAGUGAUCAGAUCAGGGCAAUCAACAUAUACAUCAUCUCAAACAUUUGUCAUUUCUUUGUGUUGAGAAGGUUCAAUAACCUACUUUUAGCUAUUUGAAAUUAUAUAUUAUUGUUAACUCUAGUCAUCCUAUCUUGGUACAGAAUGCAUUAGAACUUAUUUCCCUUAUCUAGCUGUAGUUUUGUAUUCUUUAACAAAUCUCUUAUCAUCCAAACAGUAAAUUAAAAAAUAAAUACAAUAUGCAGGGGAAACUGCAUAACUCAAAUUCUAAAAAUAUGCUUAAGAGUGAAAACAAAAACUGAUUUCGAAUAUAUUGAUGCCCUUUCUGUAUUUGGUAGACUUAAAUAUGAACAUUUGUAUUAUCUUUUGUUAGUGUCUCUUGACUUAGAGGCUUAUAUUUAAGGAUCCCAAUAAAUAUUUUUUAAUCCAUACUCAAUGUCAUACUGAGGACUAACCACCUAUGAGUUUAUAGAGGGAUUGUGAUUAGAUCAUAAUCAGUUUUCUCACUGAUCUAUUGAAGCAGGUUAAUUUGGUCUCACAGAACUUUAAAAUUUUUUCUUUCUCUACUUCAUUUCACUGUGAAAUUAGCAAUUAUUUUUUCCUGUAAGGUAAUAAUAUGAUCAAGAAGAAAAACAGGAAGGCUGAUAAAGAGAUAUGUACAGUAGAAUUUUCUCCACUGAUCCUUUGUCUGGAAGGCAACUAAAAUUUAGGCAGUCCAGAUUCUUUCAGUCAACAGGAGGCACUGUAGUUAUUCAGAUAAAACUAUGUUUCAUUCCUUAAUUUUGGUAAAUACCAUCCUAUAUUUAUUUUCUUGGAUUAUUAUAAAACACAAUCUCAGAAUUCUGUAUAUCACAUCUGAAUCUGCAAUCUGAAUUAAGCAAAAGAAAAAACUUAGAAUGAGAUUAAUUUUAUUUGUCUAACUGACUGGGCUAAGUGGUGCUUAGACAGUUGUUUAAACAUUAUUCCUGGAUGUGUCUGUGAGGGUGUUUCUGGAUGAGAUUAACAUUUGAAUUGGUAGACUGAGAAAGCAGAUUGAUCUUCCCAAAUGUGGGUAGGCCUCACCUAAUCCAUUGAAGGCCUGAAUAGAAUAAAAGGCUAAGUAAGAAAGAAUUAUCUCUCAUUACCUGCCUUCAAGCUAGGACAUUAGUUUUCUCCUGCCUUCACACUUGGACUUGGACUGAAAUUACUUUCACACUAUCAGCUUUCCUGAGUCUUCAGCUUAUUGGCUGUAGAUUUUGAGACUUCUCAGCUUCCAUAAUCAUGUGAGCCAUUUUAAAAUUUUAUCUAUCUAUCUAUCUAUCUGUCUGUCUGUCUGUCUAUCUUCUAUGGGUUUUGUUUCUCUGAAGAAAUCAGACUAAUACAGUAAGUUUUAACAAAAUAUUUUAAGUAAGCUGAGCUUAGCUCAAUCAAAUGAAUAAUAAUACAUUAUUGUCUUUUAUACCUUGCUCUUUAUCACACUCUAAGAAGAUAUUUCUUAAAGUCCUUAUUCUCUUAUCCUCAAUCACAGUAUUACCCACCCCCCCAAAAAAAACUUUACUAAAGGAAGUUGCUGCUGUAGCUCAUCAACAUAUGUCCUUAUAUUUAAAGAAUAUUGGUGUGUAUAGCUUUAGUCAGAGGUGGAUUAUCUAGUUUCUUUACUAUAUUAAUCAUUGUAUUCUGUCCUGAGACUAGAAUAUACUGAUAUAAUAGACAGUGUAGACUGGGCACAGUGGCUCACACCUAUAAUCCCAGCAUUUUGGGAGGCCCAGGUGGGCAGAUCACUUGAGGCCAGGAAUUUGAGACCAGCCUGGGCAACAUGGCAAAACCCCUGUCUGUACUAAAAAUACAAAAAUUAGCCAGGCAUAGUGUCACAUGAUUAUAGUCCCUGAUACUUAGAGAUUGAGAUACAGAAUCGCUUGAACCUGGGAGGCAGAGGUUGCAGUGAGCUGAGAUUAUGCCACUGCACUCCAGCCUGGGUGACAGAGUGAGACUCCUUCUCAAAAAAAAAAAAAAAAAAAAAAAAGAAAGACAGUGUACAUAUCAUAUAUUUUUGUUCAUGUGUUCUUUCUGUGUCACUUCCUCUCAUUCCAUCUUUUUUUUUUUUUUUUGGCUAUAUUCUUUGCUUUGAGGACAUGAGUCAAUGUAAGAAAAUGGCUUAUUUAUAUAUCCUUCCCUUUUUGCUCUUAUGCAGUGUGAGUCCCUUAAAGUCCCUUAAUCUUUAUGAACAUUCUUCUGUCUAAAUAAGACCUUGUGCCAUGUCACACGAUGCUUCACAUUAAAAUUAUACCUCUGCUAGACUGUAAAAUUAAGGAAGUCAGAGUCCCUAAUUUAUUUUUUCUAAGUGUAUCAGUGCAGUAAUGAUUUGAGUGCACAAAAAUCCUACGGGUAUUCAAUAAAAAAUUCUGUAACAAUAAAGAUAAUUUCAAAAAUAAAAUUUCUGAUUUAUCAUUGUACCUUUGUAUAAUACCUGAAUCACAGAAUACUGUGACAGAGGGUAAGAAAAUAGGAACUUUAUGAAAUAUGCCCUGAGAGGACAGAAUCAGAGUGGAAGUGAUCAAAGAAUGCAUUGUUUAUUAAGUAGAAAGCUUUCUCUAAGUGAGCCCACGUAGAUUUCUUUCCCCAUC